rnacentral:misc_RNA from 1 species
ACACCUCAACUCUCGCGGUUUCCCGUGAUGAGCUUGGACUUGGGAGUUUUGUUGGCCUGUGGGCCGGCUCUCCUCAAAUGAAUCAGCUUGCCGGUGUCUGGCGGCAUCAUGGGUGUGAUAACCAUCUACGCUUGUGGAUGUCUGCGAGGUAAACCUCUGGUCUGCAGAGGUUCGCCGGAGCUUAUAGGCGUCUCUCCUUGGCGAAGACAGCAGUUUGAA